AUAAACAGAUAUGCUAUGACCAGAGUUGCCAUUAUCUUUAUUAUUCGACUGGAAAACUCCUGUCAUUCACUCUGUCGUUCGACUGAUCCAUCAUUCACGUUGUCAUUUCCGAAUUGCCUGCAUUUACAAUAGGCAACCACGUUACACAGAGUAAAAUGAAGAUCUUAGCGCUUGUGCUUGUAAUAUACUGUACCCUGCUAAUCCCGAUUUCAGGUUUAGAUUGUUACACUUGUCCUUUUCACACUGAGUCUGCUGACUGCAGUUCACUUAACAAUACUAUAGAAGUGGAAUCAUUCAAUUUCACCUGUGUUCAGAUCAAGCAAACUAAAGGUACAGAACUGUGUCAGAAAUAUCCUGAUGCAGGCUAUCAACUAAGAUGUACCAACACCGUAGGUUCUUCAAGUUCAUCAAGGACAUGUAGUCAUAGCUGUGAAAGGAAUGGAGCCAGUAAAGGGCGUGGUUUGAAUAAAGUUACGAUGGGCAUCAUGUUAUUACUAGCAUGUGUACAUUUAAAGUUAAAUUUAAAUUAAGCAUAAUGAUACUAUCUGGUGUAUAUCUAUUGUUAAAUUGAACAUAAUGCUAUAACUCCCUGGUGCAUAUUUAAAAUUAAAUUGAACAUAAUGUUAUAACUUCCAGGUAUAUAUAUUAAAUUAAAUUGAACAUAAUUCUAUAACUCCCUGAUUUAUAUUUCAUGUUAAAUUGAACAUAAUGCUAUAAUUCCUUGGUGUAUAUUUAAAAUUACGAUUAUCAUACUAAUUAUUAUUACUAUCUGUUGGAUAUUUUAAGUGACAUUGGAACCAAUACUAUUAUUACUAUCUACUAUAUUUAAAGUGACAUUGGACCUAAUUUUAUUAUUACAAUCUGGUGUAUAUUUAAAGUGACAAUGGACCUAUUACUAUCUAUAUAUAAAGAUUUGUUGAUUACACAAUUUUAACAUCAAGUUAAUUAAUAACUUAGUAUAAAUGAUUAACUAUCAAUAAAAUAACGCCAUUAAUACCGUAUUAUCUAUUGCAAUAAAAACAUCAGAAGUA